GGUAAAAUGGCUGAGUUUAGGCGAUAAAUUGUAAAUUUAUUUACGAGAUCAAUCUCUUUUAUCA
rnacentral:tRNA from 2 species